GAUGAACGCUGGCGGCGUGCCUAAUACAUGCAAGUCGAGCGAACAGACGAGGAGCUUGCUCCUCUGACGUUAGCGGCGGACGGGUGAGUAACACGUGGAUAACCUACCUAUAAGACUGGGAUAACUUCGGGAAACCGGAGCUAAUACCGGAUAAUAUAUUGAACCGCAUGGUUCAAUAGUGAAAGACGGUUUUGCUGUCACUUAUAGAUGGAUCCGCGCCGCAUUAGCUAGUUGGUAAGGUAACGGCUUACCAAGGCAACGAUGCGUAGCCGACCUGAGAGGGUGAUCGGCCACACUGGAACGGAGCCACGGUCCAGACUCCUACGGGAGGCAGCAGUAGGGAAUCUUCCGCAAUGGGCGAAAGCCUGACGGAGCAACGCCGCGUGAGUGAUGAAGGUCUUCGGAUCGUAAAACUCUGUUAUUAGGGAAGAACAAAUGUGUAAGUAACUAUGCACGUCUUGACGGUACCUAAUCAGAAAGCCACGGCUAACUACGUG
rnacentral:rRNA from 1 species